UACGGAGGGUGCAAGCGUUAUCCGGAUUUACUGGGUUUAAAGGGUGCGUAGGUGGGUAGGUAAGUCAGUGGUGAAAUCUUCGAGCUUAACUCGGAAACUGCCAUUGAUACUAUUUAUCUUGAAUACUUUGGAGGUAAGCGGAAUAUGUCAUGUAGCGGUGAAAUGCUUAGAUAUGACAUAGAACACCAAUUGCGAAGGCAGCUUACUACACAGUUAUUGACGCUGAUGCGCGAAAGCCAGGGGAGCGAACGGG
rnacentral:rRNA from 1 species